ACAACGGCUCUUUUAAGAGCCACCUCUCUACCUCUGAAGGCUACUU
rfam:Gasterosteus aculeatus cont1.001740, whole genome shotgun sequence.